rnacentral:ncRNA from 1 species
GGUGUCGCAAGACUCAAUAGAUAAGUCCGGUUGGAUGCCGGCGCGGUCCCGCCGCUGUAGGGAGGAGCUGUACUGCAAGUAUGUCACUGUGCCCCGUGCGGGUAUGGGAAGGCGCAGUACAGCUAUGAAUCCGAGCCAGAAGAACUGCCUGAUGGAU